UACGUAGGGUGCGAGCGUUAAUCGGAAUUACUGGGCGUAAAGAGCGCGCAGGCGGUCGAUCAAGUCGAGUGUGAAAGCCCCCGGCUCAACUGGGGAGGGUCAUUCGAUACUGAUCGACUCGAAGGCAGGAGAGGGUAGUGGAAUUCCCGGUGUAGUGGUGAAAUGCGUAGAUAUCGGGAGGAACACCAGUGGCGAAGGCGACUACCUGGCCUGUUCUUGACGCUGAGGCGCGAAAGCUAGGGGAGCAAACGGGG
rnacentral:rRNA from 1 species